rnacentral:rRNA from 1 species
GGUUAAGCGACUAAGCGUACACGGUGGAUGCCCUGGCAGUCAGAGGCGAUGAAGGACGUGCUAAUCUGCGAAAAGCGUCGGUAAGGUGAUAUGAACCGUUACAGCCGGCGAUGUCCGAAUGGGGAAACCCAGUGCAAUUCGUUGCACUAUCGUUAACUGAAUACAUAGGUUAACGAGGCGAACCGGGGGAACUGAAACAUCUAAGUACCCCGAGGAAAAGAAAUCAACCGAGAUUCCCCCAGUAGCGGCGAGCGAACGGGGAGCAGCCCAGAGUCUGAAUCAGCUUGUGUGUUAGUGGAACGGUCUGGAAAGUCCGACGGUACAGGGUGAUAGUCCCGUACACCAAAAUGCACAGGCUGUGAACUCGAAGAGUAGGGCGGGACACGUGGUAUCCUGUCUGAAUAUGGGGGGACCAUCCUCCAAGGCUAAAUACUCCUGACUGACCGAUAGUGAACCAGUACCGUGAGGGAAAGGCGAAAAGAACCCCGGCGAGGGGAGUGAAAAAGAACCUGAAACCGUGUACGUACAAGCAGUGGGAGCACCUUCGGGUGUGACUGCGUACCUUUUGUAUAAUGGGUCAGCGACUUAUAUUCUGUAGCAAGGUUAACCGUAUAGGGGAGCCGCAGGGAAACCGAGUCUUAACUGGGCGUUAAGUUGCAGGGUAUAGACCCGAAACCCGGUGAUCUAGCCAUGGGCAGGUUGAAGGUUGGGUAACACUAACUGGAGGACCGAACCGACUAAUGUUGAAAAAUUAGCGGAUGACUUGUGGCUGGGGGUGAAAGGCCAAUCAAACCGGGAGAUAGCUGGUUCUCCCCGAAAGCUAUUUAGGUAGCGCCUCGUGAAUUCAUCUUCGGGGGUAGAGCACUGUUUCGGCUAGGGGGUCAUCCCGACUUACCAACCCGAUGCAAACUACGAAUACCGAAGAAUGUUAUCACGGGAGACACACGGCGGGUGCUAACGUCCGUCGUGAAGAGGGAAACAACCCAGACCGCCAGCUAAGGUCCCAAAGUCAUGGUUAAGUGGGAAACGAUGUGGGAAGGCACAGACAGCCAGGAUGUUGGCUUAGAAGCAGCCAUCAUUUAAAGAAAGCGUAAUAGCUCACUGGUCGAGUCGGCCUGCGCGGAAGAUGUAACGGGGCUAAACCAUGCACCGAAGCUGCGGCAGCGACACUAUGUGUUGUUGGGUAGGGGAGCGUUCUGUAAGCCUGCGAAGGUGACCUGUGAGGGUUGCUGGAGGUAUCAGAAGUGCGAAUGCUGACAUAAGUAACGAUAAAGCGGGUGAAAAGCCCGCUCGCCGGAAGACCAAGGGUUCCUGUCCAACGUUAAUCGGGGCAGGGUGAGUCGACCCCUAAGGCGAGGCCGAAAGGCGUAGUCGAUGGGAAACAGGUUAAUAUUCCUGUACUUGGUGUUACUGCGAAGGGGGGACGGAGAAGGCUAUGUUAGCCGGGCGACGGUUGUCCCGGUUUAAGCAUGUAGGCUGAUUGUCCAGGCAAAUCCGGAUAAUCAAGGCUGAGGUGUGAUGACGAGGCACUACGGUGCUGAAGUAACAAAUGCCCUGCUUCCAGGAAAAGCCUCUAAGCAUCAGGUAACAUUAAAUCGUACCCCAAACCGACACAGGUGGUCAGGUAGAGAAUACCAAGGCGCUUGAGAGAACUCGGGUGAAGGAACUAGGCAAAAUGGUGCCGUAACUUCGGGAGAAGGCACGCUGGUGUGUAGGUGAAGCCCCUGCGGGUGGAGCUGAGACCAGUCGAAGAUACCAGCUGGCUGCAACUGUUUAUUAAAAACACAGCACUGUGCAAACACGAAAGUGGACGUAUACGGUGUGACGCCUGCCCGGUGCCGGAAGGUUAAUUGAUGGGGUUAUCCGUAAGGAGAAGCUCUUGAUCGAAGCCCCGGUAAACGGCGGCCGUAACUAUAACGGUCCUAAGGUAGCGAAAUUCCUUGUCGGGUAAGUUCCGACCUGCACGAAUGGCGUAAUGAUGGCCAGGCUGUCUCCACCCGAGACUCAGUGAAAUUGAACUCGCUGUGAAGAUGCAGUGUACCCGCGGCAAGACGGAAAGACCCCGUGAACCUUUACUAUAGCUUGACACUGAACAUUGAGCCUUGAUGUGUAGGAUAGGUGGGAGGCUUUGAAGCGUGGACGCCAGUCUGCGUGGAGCCAACCUUGAAAUACCACCCUUUAAUGUUUGAUGUUCUAACGUUGGCCCCUUACCGGGGUUGCGGACAGUGUCUGGUGGGUAGUUUGACUGGGGCGGUCUCCUCCCAAAGCGUAACGGAGGAGCACGAAGGUUAGCUAAUCCUGGUCGGACAUCAGGAGGUUAGUGCAAUGGCAUAAGCUAGCUUGACUGCGAGCGUGACGGCGCGAGCAGGUGCGAAAGCAGGUCAUAGUGAUCCGGUGGUUCUGAAUGGAAGGGCCAUCGCUCAACGGAUAAAAGGUACUCCGGGGAUAACAGGCUGAUACCGCCCAAGAGUUCAUAUCGACGGCGGUGUUUGGCACCUCGAUGUCGGCUCAUCACAUCCUGGGGCUGAAGUAGGUCCCAAGGGUAUGGCUGUUCGCCAUUUAAAGUGGUACGCGAGCUGGGUUUAGAACGUCGUGAGACAGUUCGGUCCCUAUCUGCCGUGGGCGCUGGAGAAUUGAGGGGGGCUGCUCCUAGUACGAGAGGACCGGAGUGGACGCAUCACUGGUGUUCGGGUUGUCAUGCCAAUGGCACUGCCCGGUAGCUAAAUGCGGAAGAGAUAAGUGCUGAAAGCAUCUAAGCACGAAACUUGCCCCGAGAUGAGUUCUCCCUGAGACUUUAAGUCUCCUGAAGGAACGUUGAAGACGACGACGUUGAUAGGCCGGGUGUGUAAGCGCAGCGAUGCGUUGAGCUAACCGGUACUAAUGAACCGUGAGGCUUAACCUU